CCGGGAAGAAAUUCCUCUUGGAAAAGCUUCUCCCAUUCAUCGACCAAUAAGGCUUCGAAAGUAAGAGGAGCUAGAACCUCUGGGGAAAACUUCUGAAGGUCUUCAGGCCCAUUCGGGGACUGUGGGAGGAAGACUGAAGUUCUUUUACCCAAUGUGGGCCACAAAUAUCACAGACGUCUGGGUCAAAUCCAUCAUAAAAAAAGGUUACAGGA